rnacentral:rRNA from 1 species
AUGAAGACGAAGAGUUUACGUAGUUGUGUUCGACGAUUGAGUAUUGGACAAUAUCUACUGAAGCAAGAUCAACCACUAAAUUGUGUCAAAUUCUAUAUAAACUUGUUUGUUCAACUUAAUGAUCAAUGUCAUGGUUUUGAUGCUGCAAAACUAUUAUCUACGAGGUGUUGGGGUUGCGUCCCAUUUAGGUUUCAUGGUAAUACAUACAUAUAUACUUAUUUAAUUUUGGAUGCAUUUUUAGGGUUGUUUUUUUUAAAACCUUAUUUUUAG